GUGAGACAGGUGCUGCAUGGCUGUCGUCAGCUCGUGUUGUGAAAUGUUGGGUUAAGUCCCGCAACGAGCGCAACCCUUAUCCUUUGUUGCCAGCGGUCCGGCCGGGAACUCAAAGGAGACUGCCAGUGAUAAACUGGAGGAAGGUGGGGAUGACGUCAAGUCAUCAUGGCCCUUACGACCAGGGCUACACACGUGCUACAAUGGCGCAUACAAAGAGAAGCGACCUCGCGAGAGCAAGCGGACCUCAUAAAGUGCGUCGUAGUCCGGAUUGGAGUCUGCAACUCGACUCCAUGAAGUCGGAAUCGCUAGUAAUCGUGGAUCAGAAUGCCACGGUGAAUACGUUCCCGGGCCUUGUACACACCGCCCGUCACACCAUGGGAGUGGGUUGCAAAAGAAGUAGGUAGCUUAACCUUCGGGAGGGCGCUUACCACUUUGUGAUUCAUGACUGGGGUGAAGUCGUAACAAGGUAACCGUAGGGGAACCUGCGGCUGGAUCACCUC
rnacentral:rRNA from 1 species